rnacentral:lncRNA from 1 species
AUGGGAGUGAAAUAGCAUUUAUUAUCUGGUGACAUUUCGCAGGCAGCUUUUUACCUCCGCUUCCCCUGAGAUGUGAUAACAAAAGAUUGUCUGAUCUUCCUUUUACCCAUCUCCCCAGCUCCCUACCACCCCCAGUUCCCUUUCAUCCCUGCGUUUGAGGGCAACUGUUCUUCUGUCUCGAGGUUGGGCUGGCCAGAGCAAACAUAGCUUUCCCGGGGGAGACCAGGCCAUCUUUCUUCCUCUUACUUCAAAGGGGCUUUGGAACGCUCCACCCCAUGGGCUGAACAGAAUGUAUUUCAUUUUUUAGGAGGCUGGAAUCAGCUGCCGAGAAGGGCAGGGGCACCUUGGGCUCUCCUUCCCUUCCCCAUCUCCAGGACUCAGUAAGGAGGGAGGGCAUGAAAUCUCAGGCUCCUGGGCGGGGCUGGGGAGGCCGGCCUUGUCACAGGCAGGAGGGGCCGCAUUCCUUCCUCAGCAGCUGGUGGAGCUGGGCCUGAGCAGGACUUCCCCAAAGGACUGAGAAGGAAGCCUCCACUCUGUCGUCGCUCUCUGGGACUGCUCAAGGACAAAUCUAUCUUCCUAAAGGGAUGAAAUGAUGCAAGCAAGAGUUCUUUCAUUUAAAACCCGAGCAGCAGCAGCGAUGCUGAAAAGAACAAUCACGGAAGAAUUCAUUCCUGCAGGAAUGUAAGAGCUUACAAUUUAACUGCUAU